rnacentral:lncRNA from 1 species
CUUAUGGUGAGAGCAGCGGCCCUGGUGGAAGCGUGGUAGCCCCUAGAAGGUCCAGGAUGGAACACAGAAGCUUUCCCUUGGGAUAUGUGAGUGCUCCAGCAGUUGUAAAGAGAGCUCUGAACAUAUGUGAGUGAGGAGAGCAAUUGAGGCCUUUGGAAUGAGUACACAUCCAGGAGUGAAGAAGACAAGCUCAACUGCCAUUCUCUGAGCAGUUCAAGGCAUACUGAGUUGCGGGAGUUGUGUGGUGGUCCACUCUGACUGCAAGCACCCCUUUCUUGAACCGAACAGAGUCAAGUGGAAUCAAAGGACAUUACCUGUUGAUUCUUGGGCAAGGCCCAGAAUUUGGUGGACAUACUUAAAGAAGAAAGGAAUCUUCAGCUAAAGUGUCUACGAUCAAUUCAGAUUUGGAGGGCAUGGAUCUUCUGACAGUAGGGGCCAUUCUAGGAUUUUUUGGUUGAAGAGAUGAACUUCAACUUGGUUCCAGAUGGGUGGUCCAGCUAUUCUGCUGACAACAUUUUUCAGGGCAAGGCUUUUGCUACUGGAAUGAUUUAAGGAAGAUCCCUCAGUGUUUCAGAGUAAAGAUAUUUCUAAAGAAGUACCUGUGUCAUUGCCCAUCUUGAAGAUUGACUUUUAUGGAUUGCUCAAAUACUGAUAUCAGCUCAAUGUCAAUAUAUACUCCUACAUAUAAAAUCCAUCUUCUAAUCAUAAUCACUAGGUAAGAUGCUAGUGCAAGUUGAAGUUCUUAAAGGAGAUGACCUGAACAGCCUUCUUAGUGUACCAGGGAGACCAGAUUGAGUUUAAACUAUGUUUACCCUGCACUCAGACACGCCUAGGUGUGUCUGGGAGAUUAGUAGAUGGUGUUCAACAAGGAUCUAUUUAAACAAGGGAGACAUUAAUUUGGAUUCCUUUGGUUGUAAAUUUCCAAAAAAAAAAAAAAG